CCUACGGGGGACAGCAGUGGGGGAUAUUGCACAAUGGGGGAAACCCUGAUGCAGCGACGCCGCGUGGGCGAAGAAGUAUUUCGGUAUGUAAAGCCCUAUCAGCAGGGAAGAAGAAAUGACGGUACCUGCGUAAGAAGCACCGGCUAAAUACGUGCCAGCAGCCGCGGUAAUACGUAUGGUGCAAGCGUUAUCCGGAUUUACUGGGUGUAAAGGGAGCGCAGGCGGCACGGCAAGCCUGAUGUGAAAGCACGCGGCGCAACCGCGGGACUGCAUUGGGAACUGCCGGGCUGGAGUGCCGGAGAGGUAGGCGGAAUUCCGAGUGUAGCGGUGAAAUGCGUAGAUAUUAGGAGGAACACCAGUGGCGAAGGCGGCCUACUGGACGGUGACUGACGCUGAGGCUCGAAAGCGUGGGGAGCAAACAGGAUUAGAUACCCCAGUAGUC
rnacentral:rRNA from 1 species